AUUGAACGCUGGCGGCAGGCCUAACACAUGCAAGUCGAGCGGGGGUAGCAAUACCCUAGCGGCGAACGGGUGAGGAAUGCUUGGGAAUCUGCCUGGUAGUGGGGGAUAACGUUCCGAAAGGAACGCUAAUACCGCAUACGUCCUACGGGAGAAAGGGGGGGAUCUUCGGACCUCUCGCUAUCAGAUGAGCCCAAGCGGGAUUAGCUAGUUGGUGAGGUAAAGGCUCACCAAGGCGACGAUCCCUAGUUGGUCUGAGAGGAUGAUCAGCCACACUGGAACUGAGACACGGUCCAGACUCCUACGGGAGGCAGCAGUGGGGAAUAUUGGACAAUGGGCGAAAGCCUGAUCCAGCCAUGCCGCGUGUGUGAAGAAGGCCUUCGGGUUGUAAAGCACUUUAAGCGAGGAGGAAGGUUCGUCACCUAAUACGUGACGGAAUUGACGUUACUCGCAGAAUAAGCACCGGCUAACUCUGUGCCAGCAGCCGCGGUAAGAC
rnacentral:rRNA from 1 species